AAACCAGCACCUCAAGUGGUCAGGAGGAUUAUUGGGCCUAAAGCAUCCGUAGCCUGUUCUGUAAGUUUUCGGUUAAAUCCAUUAGCUCAACUAAUGGGCCGCCGAAAAUACUGUAGAACUAGGGAGUGGGAGAGGUAGACGGUAUUCGGUAGGAAGGGGUAAAAUCCUUUGAUCUAUUGAGGACCACCUGUGGCGAAGGCGGUCUACCAGAACACGUUCGACAGUGAGGGAUGAAAGCUGGGGGAGCAAACCGGAUUAGAAACCCGAGUAGUCC
rnacentral:rRNA from 1 species